UCCUAAAAAAACAUGUGUCGUGAUACAAUAAAGCGGUGAUGUCGGUUGAAAAUUAAAUAUAACGUGGAUUAAUCGUGUCUCGAAUAUAAAAAAUACGGGGGAAUCUAAUUUCCUUCUAUUCGGGAAUAUCAUUCAACGAAAAUGAUCGUUUAUCGUUUCGAGCGUAUCUAACGUUGCUAAUCCAAAGAUUUACAAUUGGAUCAAAAUCGAACGAUUACGUAGAUACAAGUUGUAAUUUACACCGUAAAAGUAAUGUACGUGUAUUUUGUAAAGUCUCGUAUAGAUAAGAUAAAAAUUUUUCCUUUUUUUCGUUAUCCAUUUACCAACAAUCGAAUCUACCAUCGUGUUAAUUUACAUUUUUAUAAUGUAGAAAGUGACAAUUUAAUAAAUAUUAUGGAAGAAAAGGAUACUUACCUGCAGAGGUUAUGUUAACUAAAUAUCGAAAGUUCCUUCCAUGAUGGAACCAGCAAUUUCCCCUAGUCCCGCAGGAUUCUUCCCAGAUCAAGCAAGUCGAGUCAAUAAUAGCGCCAUAAAUAAUCGGACCAGGUAUCAACGCGAACAAUGAGAUAAUCAUCAAAGUAAUACCCUGAGCGAAGCUCUUGUCUUUCUUUUCCACGCUACGAUAAUUAACCAAAACGUUGCCAAUCUUUCCAGAACACGCUAACGUUUGUAUGAUACAGGUGAGAACCAUGAACAGAAGGUAAGGGCGACUGCAAUCGUUGGUACAAGGGCCAGCUCUGACUUUAUCGAAGAUCAUCGCAUGUGGAUCGCUAAUGAAGAUCGAUUGAUCCCUCGAGUCGCCAUCUGUCGUGUAACCGAAGUGAUUUUCGAAAUUGAACGUGGAUAAAGGAAGGCAACUACAGUUCCCAAACUCUUUGUCGUUGAUUAUCGUUCGACAACCAGCAUGGCAGGCAGAAUAAAAAGUUAUCUUCGACGCCACGUGACAAACAGGAGAAUAUUUAACACCGUCGCAAUUGCAGUCUAUAUUACAAUUUGAUGUCAAAUUCAUUCUGCAAUGAAAAUUCAUUAAUCGGAUUUUUAUCAAGUGAGUGAAGGAUCUUUUAUCAAUGAAAAUGAAAAUUUUAUGAAUGUAUACUCUUUUGAAAAUAUUGAAAUGAGAAACGUAACGUACUCACUGCAUAGUUUCUAAAUUGAGACCUUCGAACCCGAUAUCGGAACAACCGAGAAAUAUAAAGAGUAUCUGACCGGCAACGAAACAAAUGCCGACGAAUACAUUCCACGCUAACAAUGGUCUUGGACCAGGUUUAAAUUUGCUAAUGAUUAAUCCGGAGAGUAAAAAUCCUAGUACCAUACCCACGAGUGAUAUAGGACCUUAAAGUAUACAUUUAUAAUUUAUAAUUAUCCAAUUUUCGAUAUCAAACAAAUUAUACAUGGUUUAAAUUAUAAUUUUUUCCAAUGACACACCUGCGAUUACAGUACCACCAGCUGCAGAGGUACUGUAUUGAACCUCGAGAUAUUUUGCCAAAAAUGUUAUGUAUGCCGAUGCACCUAACACGUAAAACACUCCGCUCAGAUUAUUGAAAGUCAAUAGCCAAUUCGUCAGUAACCUCUUCAUCGCGUUUGGAAAUUCACGCAUAGUUGGAAUGUAUUCUGUUUCCAAAGACUUUCUUGGUUCCAUCGGUUUCAUGUAUUGUUCCUGCACGGUCAAAUGCAGUUUCAAGGGGAUACUACCAUCCUGAAAAAUGAGCAAAAAAAAAAAAUACAAUGAUCCAUUUGAAUUCUAAGUAUAUAAAUUUUUUUUUACAUACCAAUGAUUAUUAUUUUUUAUUUAUUUAUUUUUUACCUUUUUCACAGUUUCGAGUGCAGUAUCUUUUUCAGUCGGUAACUUCCGCGGAAACAUGGCUAUUAGUGUAGCAAACAUGCCCAUAGUGACACCUAGAAUAAUCCAACCGAGCCACCACGCACCUAACCAUCGUGGAUCCUUCUUUGUGAUCACAGGAUGUAAACUGGGAUCUAUGUACAAACUGAGACAACCGUAACCUAGCAAAAAUCCUAUUGCUGGUCCGAUCGUUCUCAGAGCAAAGGUACGUUUGACCAAGACCGUAAUACAAAGUGGUACCAAUUCCAAGGAUAAACUGGGAGAGAAAGACCAAGAGUCGAGGUAGAAUGCUGACAUCCAACAGAGUCUCCUCGUCGCAAUGAUCCGGUUUCACGACUCGUGGACAAAUGGCCAAAUCUUGAGGAACUGUAGUGGCGUUCAGCAAUGUUUGAUCGAGAUAUUCCUUGGUCAGCGCCAAAGCGUCUCGUCCUGGUCCGUAAAGAAAGUGUGGAAGAGCAAGGACAAGGCACGAGAGGGCGCUAAGACCGACACCGAUCGCGAUCCAUCUUGGACGGUGACCAGAUCCUCCAUAAUAGGUUAAUAUCAAAGACAAGAUUUGCGAGAUUUCAUUUCCGGAGAGGAUCAAUCCUAUAAUAAAAUUUAAUUGCAAUGGAUUUAUUCGAUAAUUGUUACGAAUUUGAUCAAGAAUUUAAAUCAUUAUUUCUUUAUUUCUAUCAAAGAAAUUAUGAAAAUCGAAACGAGUUUGUUGAACAAAAUGACGGAUUUUAUAUUUUACGAGGAUAUUUUACGAAAUUAAUUUUUCGAAAAAUUAUAUUUUAUUGAAACAUAAUUUUUAUCGUUAAUUAUCUUUAAAAUAUAUAUAUUUGAAUUGUUCUAAUAUCGAAAUCAAUUUUCGAUGAGAGAUUUAAAAAAAAAAAGAACGCUUGACGAGCGAAAAAUAAUAAAAUUCAACGAAGGAGGAACUUAUUGUUUGUAUCACAAUUGAAUUUCAAUGGAUACGAUCGAUCGAAUCGGUGUCACAAUGCCGACCUCGCAAAACCGCGAAGUCUUUGGAUGAACACGGCGCAUAUUUGUGUGCGUAAGACUUGUAUCGAUUUCUCACGCAGUUAUUCUAAUUAAUAUUCAUCCAAUUGUACAUACACGAUGCAAAUAAUGUUUCAAUCGGUGCGCCAGUUUGGUAAUCAGGGUGGGAAACGCAAACGAGAGAGUUUAUCAUAAUUUCGAGACGAGAGAACGAGAGAAUAAUUAUAGAUUGAUUGGAGGAAUUAUCUCACGCACGAAAUUAAAUAUUUAAACAAAGUAAAUUUUAUUAACAGAUUUUCCGACAGUCGAUAAAUUAUUCUUGAUAAAACGCAAGGUAAAAAUUUUUUAUAUUUCGCGCUGUGAACAGAUUUUGAACGAUCUACUCUUAAUUUUUAUUAAUUUAAAUUUCAUUAAAUCUCCUUCAAACCGAAAAGCAGAUGCGUGGUUCAUCUUUGUAGAAGAACAUAGAAGAACAUUACAUUGUACAACGUAUACACAUUCAUGUUUCUUUGCAGUACGUGUCCAGCUAACGACAGAUUUCUCACUUCUAUGAUUGCGACACUCUACUUACCUACUAGACGAGCGCACACGGAUAAACGAUCUUUGGUCGGAUAUGUACGUACAUGUGCGAAUGCAAGUCCAAGAACGGAGAUAAAGGAACGAGUUGGCGGAGAAUUCUUACCAGUUGUACGACUAGGUAUUUUGAAUCUUUUUUCCAAAGUCGUGAGGGUGACAACGAUGUAAAUAAAGGCCAUUGCCUGCACGGUGCCGAGGAGGCCGUACACCGCUAUGAAAUUUUUCGGGGUGGCACGAUCACGUAGCCAUCGGGGAUAAAUCCCGCAAAUUCCACAACCUUGGCUCAUCCCUCCGACUGCACUGCAACAAUUCAUUUUCAUAACGAAUUUUCAGGAUCAAACUUUUCUAUAAAGAAUAAAAAGAAAUUUUUUUCCAUCUAGGGAUCACUAGGAUCUGGGAAGAAAGAGAAAGUUCUUUUUUUAUCUAGGGAUCAUCAGGAUUCUUCAUAAGCUUCAGAAUCAAACCUGAAUCAAACCAAAUCUUUCUACGAAAAAGAAGAAAAA